UGUACUUGACAAUGUAGGCAGUCAAAGUUGACUCAACCGUUCGCAAGCCGACGUCUCUCCGCUCUGCGCAUGUUAUGCACGACGGCUGAAGAACGCAACUCUCAACUCACUGACGAAUCGCAUUGUAAGGAGCCCAUUGGUCAACACAACAUUGCAAGCUCCACCCUCUAGGCCUUCUCACAUUCACCACAGGAAGACGUGCCCCUUCGCUGUUCAGACCCUUUGUGGACCCCUUUGGACCGCUUGCCAGCUAAUUCUGUAUGCCGAUCUUGGCCCGAUAUCUGGCACCAUGCCCGUUGUGAUGCAAACGUUUGUUCCCGGCAAUCUGGCUGCGCAAGAGAUCGCCGAUUGUCGCCUGUUGGCGCAACACCUCGGCUCAAUCGGCGACGACGUCUAUCAGACCGUCAACCAGUCGAAACAAGCUCAGAGAGUAGGAACGUUCGUCGGUGCGCUCUGUGCGUGUGUUGCUAUGGUGACUUGUAUGGUCACUCUUCGUUUCGACGCUUGAACUUGUCUCCAUACGGGGAGUGAACUGUAUUAAUAUUCGUGCUCAUUUUUGAGUGUUUUUAUUGUCCAUUGGACGACCCAAUGGCAGAGCUUUGCUCGACGACGUUGGCAACAACCAGAGAUAUUCUGUAUUUUUGGAAUAAUUGUAUAAAAAUUGUUGCAGCUAGUCAGUAUGUAUGAGGGAUAUUUCAAUGUGGUACUGUAUAUUGUAUUUAAAUAUUUGUCUGUAUAAUACAACAUCAGGUAAUGGGCAAGCCA